rnacentral:lncRNA from 1 species
CACCCGCGGCGCGAGCGAGCGAACGCAACAAAACAAAACAAACUCGUGCCGGCUUCCUGUUGUGCAACCUCUUUCUGAGCGGGGUGUUGGAAGGAGGGUGGACUUUGGAAUCAGAAAACCUGGAAAUCUCAAUUCCACUACUUACUCCGAAGACGAGAGGUUGUACCCUGGCCCAUUGAGGACUUCAGUUCUGCUACCUGAGGCUUUGUAAAGAGCAGGUCUCCAGCAGAAGGUGUGGCCCAGAUUAAAGGUGUGGACCACCACACCUGGAUCUGGGACUUGCUUUAUCCCAGAUGACCUUGAACUCAGAGAUCUCCUUGCCUUAGUCUCCUGGGAUUCAUAGCCACUAUGCCUCAAGAUCUCCAGGCCAAGAUCUAGGUCAGAAACUUCUCUCUCUCAGCCUCAAGAUCUGGAUCACAUAGCCGAACAUUAUCCCACUUUGGAGAGUUCGGUGCAUGCUGCUGACAAGUCGAUGUAUCACAAAUACACACCAGUGUAUGAAAAGACUUCUGUUGGAAGCUACCAAGUGGCACUGUAAGAAGAGACACCAUCUUAUCCUGGUUGUUUAUAUUAGUUCUCUAUAGGUUCUGUGACAAAGUCUGAUAGACUGCUGACUUCAGACAACAGUAUACAUCUUCUUUCAGCUCAAGAGGCUGAUUUACUCCAAGGAUUUCUCAUGCCCUUUGGAGUCCUAUCCUGUCCCUAAUUAGUCUAGUAGAAACUCUGAAAUCCCACCUUUGUCUAAAUAUCUUAAAACAGAACUCCCACAAAGGAAGACAUAUCCCAAAUCAAUAUCAUAGAACAGACAUGCCUUGCUAGAAGUCCUCUGUCACCCUUGAGACCUUUCAUCCUCAAACCUGAUAUUCUGAGGCAAAGAUUGUGCUCUGACUCUCAGCAUCUGUUAUUGACUUCAACUUCUCUGUGGAAGAAUCCCUCCAAUGGUUUAGUUGAGUACAAGACUAUACAGCUAAAGACAGGAUAUAAUAAUACAUAAUAUAAUAUACAUUCAUAUAUAAUAAAAAUUAUUCCUUUUUGCCUG